GACGAACGCUGGCGGCGUGCUUAACACAUGCAAGUCGUACGGUAAGGCCCUUUCGGGGGUCCACGAGUGGCGAACGGGUGAGUAACACGUGAGUAACCUGCCCACAACUUUGGGAUAACGCUAGGAAACUGGUGCUAAUACUGGAUAUGUGCUCCUGCUGCAUGGUGGGGGUUGGAAAGCUCCGGCGGUUGUGGAUGGACUCGCGGCCUAUCAGCUUGUUGGUGGGGUAGUGGCCUACCAAGGCGGCGACGGGUAGCCGGCCUGAGAGGGUGACCGGCCACAUUGGGACUGAGAUACGGCCCAGACUCCUACGGGAGGCAGCAGGGGGGAAUAUUGCACAAUGGGCGCAAGCCUGAUGCAGCAACGCCGCGGGCGGGAUGACGGCCUUCGGGUUGUAAACCGCUUUCAGCAGGGACGAAGCUUUUUGUGACGGUACCUGCAGAAGAAGCACCGGCUAACUACGUG
rnacentral:rRNA from 1 species